GACAGAGGGUGCAAACGUUGUUCGGAAUUACUGGGCGUAAAGGGCGUGUAGGCGGGAAGGCAAGUCGGGCGUGAAAGCCCCAGGCUCAACCUGGGAACUGCACUCGAAACUGCCUUUCUUGAGUGCCGGAGAGGAAAGCGGAAUUCCUGGUGUAGAGGUGAAAUUCGUAGAUAUCAGGAGGAACACCAGUGGCGAAGGCGGCUUUCUGGACGGUAACUGACGCUGAGACGCGAAAGCGUGGGGGAGCAAACAGG
rnacentral:rRNA from 1 species